rnacentral:rRNA from 1 species
UUCCCUUCGGGGAGCGAGUAAAGCGGCGCACGGGUGAGUAACACGUAGGUAACCUACCUCAUAGUCGGGAAUAACCCGGGGAAACCCGGGCUAAUGCCGGAUAAGACCACGAUUGCUUCGGCAGUCGAGGCCAAAGACGGCCUCUACACGUAAGCUGUUGCUAUGGGAUGGGCCUGCGGCCCAUUAGCUAGUUGGUAGGGUAAUGGCCUACCAAGGCUGUGAUGGGUAGCUGGUCUGAGAGGAUGAUCAGCCACACUGGGACUGAGACACGGCCCAGACUCCUACGGGAGGCAGCAGUGGGGAAUAUUGCGCAAUGGGGGAAACCCUGACGCAGCGACGCCGCGUGGGUGAUGAAGGCCUUCGGGUCGUAAAGCCCUGUCGUAGGGGAAGAACUGGUGGACGGCUAAUACCCGGCCACCUUGACGGUACCCUACAAGAAAGCACCGGCUAACUCCGUGCCAGCAGCCGCGGUAAUACGGAGGGUGCGAGCGUUGUUCGGAAUUACUGGGCGUAAAGCGCGUGCAGGCGGUCGAUUAAGUCCGGUGUGAAAGCCCGGGGCUCACCCCCGGAAGUGCGCUGGAAACUAAUCAACUAGAGUACGGGAGAGGGAAGUGGAAUUCCUGGUGUAGCGGUGAAAUGCGUAGAUAUCAGGAGGAACACCGGCGGCGAAGGCGGCUUCCUGGACCGAUACUGACGCUGAGACGCGAAAGCGUGGGGA